GACGAACGCUGGCGGCGUGCUUAACACAUGCAAGUCGAACGGAAAGGCCCUGCUUGCAGGGUACUCGAGUGGCGAACGGGUGAGUAACACGUGGGUGAUCUGCCCUGCACUUCGGGAUAAGCUUGGGAAACUGGGUCUAAUACCGGAUAGGAGCCAUCUUUAGUGUGGUGGUUGGAAAGUUUUUUCGGUGUAGGAUGAGCUCGCGGCCUAUCAGCUUGUUGGUGGGGUAAUGGCCUACCAAGGCGGCGACGGGUAGCCGGCCUGAGAGGGUGUACGGCCACAUUGGGAGUGAGAGACGGCCCAGACUCCUACGGGAGGCAGAAGUGGGGAAUAUUGCACAAUGGGCGCAAGCCUGAGGCAGCGAAGCCGCGUGGGGGAUGAAGGCCUUCGGGUUGUAAACUCCUUUCGCUAGGGACGAAGCGUUUUUGUGACGGUACCUAGAUAAGAAGCACCGGCUAACUACGUG
rnacentral:rRNA from 1 species